rnacentral:rRNA from 1 species
CCUACGGGAGGCAGCAGUGAGGAAUCUUGCGCAAUGGGCGAAAGCCUGACGCAGCAACGCCGCGUGAACGAGACAGCCUUCGGGGUGUAAAGUUCUGUCAGUGGGGACGAAAGAUGACGGUGCCCACAGAGGAAGCACCGGCUAACUCCGUGCCAGCAGCCGCGGCAAUACGGAGGGUGCAAGCGUGGUCCGGAAGCAUUGGGCGUAAAGAGUAGGUAGGCGGUAUGUUUAGUAUGGUGGUAAAUGCAGAAGGUCAACUUCUGUUGGGCACUGGAUACUGGCAAACUAGAAUGUCGUAGAGGUAAAGGGAAUUCCUGGUGUAGCGGUGAAAUGCUUAGAUAUCAGGAGGAACAUCAGUGGCGUAAGCGCUUUUCUGGGCCGUAAUUGACGCUGAGGAACGAAAGCGAGGGUAGCAAAUGGGAUUAGAUACCCCAGUAGUC